CCCGGGCCUUGUACACACCGCCCGUCACACCAUGGGAGUUGGUCUUACCCUAAGGCGGUACGCUAACCGCAAGGAGGCAGCCGGCCACGGUAAGGUCAGCGACUGGGGUG
rnacentral:rRNA from 1 species